rnacentral:rRNA from 1 species
UACGUAGGAUGCAGGCGUUGUCCGGAAUUAUUGGGCGUAAAGAGCGCGCAGGCGGCCUAUCAAGUCGGAUGUGAAAUAACCAGGCUUAACCUGGUGGGGUCAUUUGAAACUGGUAGGCUAGAGUACAGCAGAGGAUAGCGGAAUUCCCGGUGUAGUGGUGAAAUGCGUAGAUAUCGGGAGGAACACCAGUGGCGAAGGCGGCUAUCUGGGCUGCAACUGACGCUGAGGCGCGAAGGCUAGGGGAGCAAACAGG